CAAAGAAAGCCAGUGUUUGGAAAGACGUUCUGUCUGAGACAUGUGUAUUGUAGACGAGAGAGGGGCAUUUCAGACAGGUGACUUGUGUAUUCAGAACAGAUAAGUCCCGUGUUUUUCAGCGUAUUCUCGUUAUUAAUAUAUAGCGGGAGAAUACGUGACGCUAUUGACAGCAUAGCUUGUUUUACGUAUACAGGGCAGCACAUCAGGCACAUCCACCGAGGUGUCAACAUCAAGAGAUGCUGCAUGCCAAACUGAGCCAGUGCUGACAAGGACUGCAGGCACACAGCUGUCCUUGAGGACUUUUCAGUCCCACUUUAGAAGUGAAGGUGUCCAAGCUACUGUGUCCUGCUAGGAUUUUGGUGUCGGGACAUCCAGUGUAGACCCUUUGUCUUUUUCAUCAACACCAAUAAAGAGACCUUCAAAAAGACGUCGCCUGGACAUUGAAGAGGAGCUGAAAGAAGACCCAUUACAGGGAACCUCUUCAUUGACAGCGUCAAAGGGACAAGAUUCUACAUAUGACCCUGCAGAUUCCGUCACAUUGACAGAGUCAACAUUUUUGUCACAAGAGUCAUCAACUCACCCACACAGGACAAAGAAAUACAUCGUCUACGAGAGUUCCAUUAUGGAGUUAUUUGCUGCCUGUCCUGUUUGCACACGAAGAUGUGAAGUGAAAACAAGGAAGCUGGGGACAUUCCUGUCUGUGGAUCAGCAGUGCCCUCAUUGCCAGUUCUACAGACACUGGAACAGCCAGCCUUUACUCUGGAAACACGCCAGCAGAGAACAUCCACCUAUCUGCAGCUGUGUACCUGAGUGGUGCAUCUUUCUUGAAAAUUGCAAGGGUAACGGAUGUGCAACUGCAUUUCCUUCAGUUCUAAUUAUGUGUCUAGAUAUUCUGAUCAAUUUACAUGCAUUAUGAAAAAAAAAAUUCCUUUGCAAACAGGUCUUCAAGGCAAUGGAGCUACAAUUGUUUCAGCAUGCCACAUUUCGCCGCCAUGCCAGAUCCUCAUUGAACCUGCAGUCAUUCACCACUGGAAAACAUCACAGGAUAUGAUGCUCCAGCAGCUCACUCAGGAGAACAAAUUGAUAGUUGGUGGUGACAUGAGGGCUGACUCUCCAGUUUUAUCAGGACACUGCAAAGUUUGGGAGUUACACCAUGAUGGACCUCAACACAAACACAGUUAAUGACAUCCAGUUGGUUCAGAGUAACGAGGUUGGGGGUAGUUACUACAUGGAGAAAGAGGGCCUGAUGAGGAGUCUGGAAUUUCUGGAGGCACGUGGAUUGCAAUUGAUUGCAUUGUUACUGACCGUCAUCCCCAAAUUCAGAAGUUCCUCAGGGAAAGAAACAUCACCCACUACUACAAUGUAUGGCACAUGGUAAAAGGUAUUUCAAAGAAAAUGGACAAGAUCAGCAAACAGAAAGACUGUGAAAACAUCCAGAAGUGGAUGAGGAGCAUCAACAACCGCAUAUACUGGACUGCAGCUACCUCAACUACAGGACCAGAGAGAAUAGCAAAAUGGACCUCAAUCCUGAACCACGUGCAAGACAUCCACACACAUGAGGACCCUCUUUACCCCAAGUGCCUGCAUGACAUCCACCAGACACGUGACAAGAACAAAUGGCUACGUGCAGCAACUCCUGCUUUCUAUAAGUUAGAGAAGGUGUUGACCAACAAAAGAACACUGAAGGAUGUUGCAAAACUGAGCCCUCACCACCAGACUUCAUCAUUAGAGGCAUUUCACAGUGUGAUUCUUCGAUUUGCCCCGAAGAAUGUGGUUUUCCCAUUUAUUGGAAUGCUGUGCAGACUGUACCUAGCUGCUAUGUAUUACAAUGAAAACGCUGACCGGCCUCAAGCAAAAACACAGGAAGGUGUACCUCUCUUCAAGGUCCACUUUCCAAAGGCCAUGAAGGGAGAAUGCAGGGCCAAACCACACAAGAUAGAGCCAACAUUUCAUAAGGUACGUUGCUGACAUGAUCGACCUCAUCUUUGACCAAGUGUUUCUGGACCCUGCAACAUACAUGAAUGCACUGUUGGCCAUCCCUGUUCCAGAGGACCUAACUGCGCAGUAUGAGCGGCCUGAGAAGGAGGAGGUCAUUGCCAGC